AUUUACAGCUGGAAGGGCAGACGGAGGCAUCUUGGUGUAUACACAGCCCUGCUGGGCCACAUCCCGGGUCUCCUCCCUCUGCGAUGCCAUAGCAGGGGCGCCUUCCGAAAGCCCUCUGGAUUGAGGCAGCAGGAUCUAUGGUGGAACCUGCCCCGGCGUCGCCAACGCCCCUAGGACCCCAGCACACUGACUGGGGAGCAUCCCUGUGUCGUUUCUGCCCGGAGAGGAGCAGAGGCCAGGCUGCUGCUCUGGGAGAUGAGACUUUCUGGUGCACCUGCACUUCCACAUGAGACUUCCGGGUGCACCUGCACUCCCAGAUGCAGACUUCCUGGUGCACCUGCACUUCCUGGUGCAGACUUCUUGGUUCAUCUGCAACUUCCUGGUGAGAAUCCCUUGGGCAUCUGCACUUCCUGAUGCACCUGCACUUCUAGUUAUUUUAGAGAAAACGUUCCCUGAACAUGCCACAUGCAGAGGAUGCUGGGUAUCAGGCUACCUUUGCUGGACAGCUCCAGGUAACUGCAUUUGCUCUGCCAAUGUUGGCUUUUUAAAAAUAGAAAACACAUAUAGACAAAUCCAUCACACACACAUGCACAGACACACACACACACACACACAGACAAAUCCAUCACACACACAUGCACAGACACACACACACAGAGUCAACGACAUAGGCUCACAAGUAGAGCUCUUCGUCUGUUUAUACUUAAUGCAAUUACUGAUACAUCUAAGUUUGGAGCUGCUGUUUUCUUUUACGUAUACUGUUUGUUUGCAGAUUCUGUGUAUAAAUUCUUUCCUUUCUUGCCGCCUUUUAGAUGAUUUCCCCCAGCUUACCUUGAGGACUUUCGAGCAAACAGACACGUUGAAAGAAUAGACAAGGACCACUUGCAUGCCCCUCAGUUAGAUUCACCAACUGUCAAUAUUUUGCACUGUAUGUAUACACGUACAUGUCUGUGUAUACACAUAUACACAUACAGUCACACAUCGCCCGAUGGCAGGGAUGGUUCUGAGGAAGGCGCUGUUAGGCGAUUUCGUCGCUGUGCGAGCAUCAUAGUGUGAACUUACUCAAACCUAGAUGGCACAGACUCAUCGCCUCCCACACGCCUGGGCUGUAUGGCAGGACCUCCUGCUACCGGGCUACAAACCCAGGCAGGGUGGUACUGUACUGAAUGGUGCAGGUGAUUGUAACACAAUGGUAAGUAUUUGUGCAUGUAAACAUACCUAAACAUAGAAACAGUGUAGUAAAAAUAUGGUAUAAAAGAUCAAAUACAGUACACCUGUACAAGGUCUGCUCUGUUCUAAUCUUAUGGGGCCACCACUGUAUAUGCCGUCUAUUCUUGACAGAAGUGCUUUAUGUGGCACAUGACUGUACAUGGAAAUACACACACACUCACACACAUCCACACACAAGCAUAUGCAUACACACAUAUAUACAUGUAUAUACACGUGCAUAUAACAUAUGUAGAUAUCUGCCAAUUGCUAUCCAACGUGAAUUCCAUAAAUUU
rnacentral:lncRNA from 1 species